rnacentral:sRNA from 1 species
CUGGUUCUUUUGAGCGGCGACGGCGGCUGCUUUAACAGCGGCGGCGGUCGGCUAGAUGCCAUGGCGGGGUGAGCAGGCGGCAAGCGAGUAGCCGAGCAGGGACUCCGCCGGCGGCGUCUCUAGUUCCCAUGGUAUUGCAGUGAUGCCCCGGCGUUGCUCCUGUUAUUCUUUGUGAGCUUGUAGCGGUGCUCCCGUCUCCUGCUCGAGUCAUCGUCCCCACUGCGUGCACAAGGAGGCAACGCUAGAUUUGGUACUGUGCUACUGUGUAUGUUUGGUAUUUGGAUUCGUAUACAAUAUGCUAAUCUGUCUUUAUAGAUCAAAUUUUUACUGUCACUUCCGUGCAUUCUUAUGAACAGAUGGAUGCAUUCAGAUUUGACAAGGUAUAAUAAGCCAAUAAGGUGUAUUUUGUUAAAUGAUUGCCAUUUGACCUGUAGUACAGAUUUAGCACUUGCCAGUGACUUGUGAACUUGAGAUUUGAGAAACUAUGAAGUAGUACGAGACUAUGAACUGUAUGAGUCACAUGUUGAAUAUUAUAUGGUUAUAUGAUUAAGCUGAGUUAGUUAUGAGCUU